GACAGAGGUGGCAAGCGUUGUUCGGAUUUACUGGGCGUAAAGGGUGCGUAGGUGGUUAGGUAAGACCUGCGGGAAAGACCUGGGCUUAACCCAGGAAGGUCGUAGGUGACUGCCUGGCUAGAGGGCGGGAGAGGAGAGCGGAAUUCCCGGUGUAGCGGUGAAAUGCGUAGAGAUCGGGAGGAAGGCCGGUGGCGAAGGCGGCUCUCUGGAACGUUCCUGACACUGAGGCACGAAAGCGUGGGGAGCAAACAGGAUUAGAAACCCGGGUAGU
rnacentral:rRNA from 1 species